UACUUUCCAAAAUACGCCGAGAGUAUUCCUGAUGGUGAAACGAGCGUUGCUUCAUCGAACGCAGCUAAAGAAAACAACAUCUAUGUAGUUGGUGGUACGAUGCCUGAAAUAGGGGGCGAUAAAUUGUACAAUACCUGUACUAUUUGGGGUCCCGAUGGAACUUUGAUAGCAAAACACCGAAAGGUACAUCUAUUCGACAUCGACAUUCCUAAUAAGAUUACUUUUCGAGAGAGUGAUUCACUCAGUCCUGGUAACUCCCUAACGACGUUCGAUGUGAAGGGCUGCAAAAUAGGUAUUGGCAUUUGCUAUGAUAUUAGAUUCGAGGAAAUGGCACGCAUUUAUCGGAACAAAGGUUGCCAAAUGCUGAUAUAUCCAGCGGCAUUCAAUAUGACCACUGGACCACUGCACUGGUCAUUACUUCAGCGUUUCAGAGCGAAUGAUAAUCAAUUAUACGUUGCCUGCAUAUCACCGGCUCGUGUUCCUUAAGCAAGUUACGUCGCAUGGGGACAUACACAGUUGACCAAUCCCUGGGGAAAGAUUCUUUACGAUUUGGAAACUCAAGAGAAUAUGGCAGUCACCGAUAUCGAUCUAAAAGUUGUUGAGGAAGUAAGGGCUCAGAUACCUACAUUUUCUCAGAGACGUACAGAUUUGUACGACACUGUCUGUAAGAAGGAGUAACUCUACACUAAAACAGAAAAUGUUUUUUUAUAAUAUUUCUACUACGAUAUCCUUUUUUUGUGAAUUAUUACUAAUUUCUUAUCAUUUGUACUAAAUGAAUGACUCAAUUAAGAAAACCAAAACGUUAUAAAUAAUAAUCUGUAUAUCUUGUGUAUCAACAUGUAAUUGGAUAUUAUAAUAAUAUAGGAUAAUAAUAUAGGAGAAUAAUAAUAUAGAAAAUAAUACAUGCUUUUAAACACCUUUAAUAUCGAUCACAUAAAUUGUAAUAAUUCACAAUGAUCACGCAUACAUAAAAGACCCUUUGAUAGUAAAAUUUACGAUCAAAACGCAAUUACGUAUCGUUUAACAACAUUUAAUUUAUAACACCUUUUAAACAUUUAGACAGAUUAACACAUAACACUUCUUAUAUAUAAACAUCAAUUCGAAGUUAUCAGCUUGGAGAAAUUGGUCGAUUAAUACCUGUAGAUUGUCUGUCUCGAUGAAAGCCUUAAAGAGAGCAAAAACAUGAUAAUGCCGCUAAUAUAAUAUUCCUUCUUUCUUGUAUCUGUCUGCCUCUCAGGUCGUUUUACUAAUUACAAUAAGUAAUUUCGACUUCUUUGCGCUCUCUUUUAACGCAUUCGAGACCGAAAGAAAUUCAUAUCAGUCAGUAGGCAAGGGUAUAAUAUACAUAUUUUAUAUAUAACUUAUGUAGUAAUGUAUAGAUCAUGUUAAUUUCAUAUUUUUUUCAAUAUAGAAUUAUUAUAUAUAUAUAUAUAUAUAUAUAUAUAUAUAUAUAU